rnacentral:lncRNA from 1 species
CUGUGACAGAAUUUGUUUAAAUACUAAGCUGCCGAACAGUUGAAAUGCAGUAAGCUUUUUGAGAACUACCGGUAAAACCUCCAAACAUUCAUGAAGCUACUGUAGAAGAGGAAGAGGAAACAGCACGUUGUUUCACUAGUGUGACAUUGUGCACAGCUGAAACUGAAGAAUGCUCUUCCCCUUUCUUUUUCUGGGAGAAGCACACAAGUUUUGAGGCAGAGAGCUGUUUAAAAAGAAAGAUUGUACAGUCUCCUCAGUUCCACCAAAGCAAGAUCCUCUCCUGUGGCCAGCAACAGUUAAUUCUUACGUAAGAAAAAGCAGGGCUUUUGCCUUUGAAGAUAUAUCUCCUACUGAACAUAUUAAAAUAAAA